rnacentral:rRNA from 1 species
GCGGCGGACGGGUGAGUAACACGUGGGCAACCUGCCCUGUAGACGGGGAUAACACCGAGAAAUCGGUGCUAAUACCGGAUAACACGAAAUGUCGCAUGACGUUUCGUUGAAAGACGGCGCAAGCUGUCGCUACAGGAUGGGCCCGCGGCGCAUUAGCUAGUUGGUGAGGUAACGGCUCACCAAGGCGACGAUGCGUAGCCGACCUGAGAGGGUGAUCGGCCACACUGGGACUGAGACACGGCCCAGACUCCUACGGGAGGCAGCAGUAGGGAAUCUUCCGCAAUGGACGAAAGUCUGACGGAGCAACGCCGCGUGAGCGAAGAAGGCCUUCGGGUCGUAAAGCUCUGUUGUUAGGGAAGAACAAGUAACGCAGUAACUGGCGUUACCGUGACGGUACCUAACGAGAAAGCCACGGCUAACUACGUGCCAGCAGCCGCGGUAAUAC